AGAGCACGCCUACGGGAAGCAGCAGUGGGGGAUAUUGCACAAUGGGGGGAACCCUGAUGCAGCGACGCCGCGUGGGUGAAGAAGCGCCUCGGCGCGUAAAGCCCUGUCAGCAGGGAAGAAAAUGACGGUACCUGAAGAAGAAGCCCCGGCUAACUACGUGCC
rnacentral:rRNA from 1 species